UCUCACAAAAUCUUCUCUUAAUAUGAUAAUAGAGAAAGGGAAUGAAUAGUAAUUUGAGAACGUGUCUGCGCUUUAGUUGUAGUUAAGUGCGGUGUCUGGGCUUCAGUGGUCUGCUACGUGUUAUCUCCCUCAUACCACCACCGUAUCUUUCAUCUUGAAACCGCACCGCGUGUCCUACAUGAAGCCACCACCUCUACUCCUGUUACUCAACACAUGCUUCCUGCUUCACUUUCCUGGCCUAACUUGAUCCGUCAACAAACCAGGUGCCCUAAUCGACCCCUCGAGAAAACCAUGGACCCCUGCAUAGCGUAGCUCGGAGCAAUCCAGCCGUUGAUGAGGAUGCUUGAUUCGGAAUCGGCACUGAUGCUUUACAUGGUUCAAAUGGCAAUAUCUACGCAACGUGAGAAUAACCAAGCCCAGACACAAUUUGUUUUGAAUACAUUGACGGUGGUAACAUAUUUUCAGUCAACAAAUGUCUGCAUAGAUAUUGCUUUUCUUGUAUGAGAAAACACGCAUAAGCACAAUUGCUUCAUGGGAAGUUGCUCGAGUGCCAACUUGAAAAAUGUGAAUCCAAAAUUGGAAUUGGAGGCUGCAAGAAGCUUCUAAAACCAUAAUUAUAUUAUAAUAUUAUGAGGUGUGUUGUACGUAAUCGCCAUUUUUGUAUAGAUUGCGAGGUACCUUGGCAUGACAACAUUACUGCUCGGAUUACAUGAAGUCACACAAGUUGAAGUCUACAGGCGAGGCAAAAAUAAAGUCUCUGCAACAAAGAAAGGUUGGAACGAGUGUAUCAAGUGCAAGAAUUCGGUUGAACUUGCAUUUAGGUGCUACCAUAUUUAUUGCAGAUGUGGAUAUGAGUUUUUCUAUACUUGUGGUGUGGAGUGGGUUAAUAAGAAACCAGCGUGCAGGUGUCCGCUCUGGAAGGAGCGCAACAUUCUUUAUGCGUAGAAGCGUAUAAAUGGUUGAUAUUGGUGAAAAGACUAGAAUUUAAUAGUUGUGAAUGUUGAUAUUGGUGGUGUCUGCAUGAUCUCGAUGGUACACCUUUUCAAGUUUAAUUUAAUGUUUAA